ensembl:lncRNA
AUUUGUGAGACACAGUACCCAUUUUAUCUUGCUUUUUAAGAAGCUCUGAGGAGGGGAGUGAUGACAGUUGGCAUACUUCCGAGGAGGAGGAACUCGAUUUUACCCCCAAGAAGCUGCAGAAGCCAAACUUGACACUGUUACUGAAUGCUUCCCAGCAGUACAGGAAAAACAAUGGUGAUAGUUCUAGAAUUGAAAGUCUUAAGUCACCAAAUAAAUGCCUCAGAGAAAGAACCCUGUCAGAUGCAAAUGCAAGCAAAGGAAAAUGUGGACAGUUACUGACUCAAGAUGUGUCAGAUGCAAAAAGCCUGGAGGAGGAGAAGGAAAUAGAGGAGGAAGAGGAAUAUGAUGAAAAAGAUAAUGGAGAUGAUGAUGAGGAUUAUGAGGAAGAGGAAGAAGAGGGUGAAGAUCUCACUCAAGACGAAAAGGAGGAGGAAGAUCUUGAAGAUGAAGAAACUCAGUCUAAUGGCAUAUUGGAGGAGGAGCAGGGUGAGAAAAAAGAACCUAAAGGGGAAAUUAAUCAGAAACUGGAAUACGUUAGUAGUGCCAAGUAUGAAGGGAAAGCUCGGUGUGAAGCUGGAAAUGUCUGUGAUAAUGCUGUAAGUAAAGAACUUGAUGAAAAGGUGGAGGAAUCUGUUGAUGCUCAUGUGUCUUUUCUAGGUGGAUGUUAUGAACCGUCGCAAGAAAAUAUAACUGCCAUGUCUCCAAAGACAAUGAAUAAUGAAGUAUCUUGCAAGUCAGUAGGAAAACAAGCUGUCUUUCAAAAUCUAAAUAAUUUGCAAGAUACACAAGAAAGCUGGAACAAGAAAAGCAUGAUCCAGAAGUUUCACAGAAAUGGUGACUCCUGUUCUGUAGACUCUGAAAUGACCAACUGGAAAAAGGAGAUACCUCAGCCUCUCUCAGGUAGCUGUGGUCUUAAGGAGAAAAAGUCAGGCUUUGGUGAUGGCUUUGAAAAUGGUGAUAAUUCUUGGUUAGCAGCAAAAAACCUAAGGCUUGGAAGUCAAAGACCAAGCUCUGUUGUUCUUGAAUGUGUGGAUGAUGACGAUACUGAAGAAGAGCAAUGUGAAGAAGUAGAUGGUGAAGUCUGUGAAGCACUGAAGCAAGAAAGUGAAAACUUGUGCUUAAACAAGUGUGAAGAAAAUUUAAAAGCAGCAUUUUACUCGAGCACCAAAGAGGAAUCGUCUGAGUGGGAUGACGAGGAGGAGCAGGAGAAGCAAGGUGUUGGUGAAGAGCUACAAACUGCAGUUGUUGAGGGUGCCCUGACAGCAGUGGAAGUAGAGGAAGAUGCUGAUUCUCCCUGGGAUUCUGAGAUUAUAGAGACAGAUCCUGGAAGUCUGAGAAAAGCAUCAUCUGGUGUGUUGUUCCCAGCUGCAGACAGACAUGGAACAUGCUCUCAGGUUGCUUCAGGGGAACACAAUGGCUUUUCAGAGAAACCCAGCAAUUCCCAGUUGAAGACUCCCCAAGCUGCUUCAGAAAUAAAUAAACCCUCUCCUAAAAAUAGGCAGGAGAAAUCAGAUCUGUUGGAGGAAUUUGGUUUAGGAGAUGCAGAGGAUAUUGAAGGUGAGUACUCGGGAUCUACCUCUCACGUAUCAUCAUCAGCUACAAAAGAAGACAUCAAGGAUACCACUGAAAACUAUGGAGUACAGGAUAAAUACAUUUUAGAAACUACCAACUUGAUGCAAAAAGCAGCACAUGAAAAUCAGACUGGCAGAGCAGAAAUUUCUCACCAUGAUGAGAAGUGCCAUAGUGCUGACAAGCAGUUAAGUCAAAAAACUUGGGAAGAAAGGUACGAAAAACUGUGGGUUGAAAAUGAAAAAAGGGCAUUGAAAACAAGUUUUAAAAACAUUACAGCAGAGCUGAAGCAACUGUUUGGUGAAAUUAAUGAAACGGGGAAAACUGCUUCCCUUGUGGAAGAAGUAUCAGAAGAUGGCUUCAAUGAAGAAUUGAAGAGUUCUGUUGUUUCGUCUCCUGUGACAGAAUCAAGUAGUAAGCUAGAAAGUAAAGGUGAUUUUGGAGAUAUUAAACCCGUGUUAGGUGGGAAAGUACCCAAAAUGGCAAUUGUAAUUCCAAGUCUUGGUGUCCUUCCUGAUCAAAAUGACUUAAAUGCAAAUAUGGAAGAUACCUGGAGUGCAGAUGAAGAAGAUGGCAGAAACGAUAGAGAUAAUACAAAGGUGCCUGUAGCAACAGGAGAGGAAAAGGAAGUGCCUACAAUGAAAAUGGAAGAGAAGGAAAAUGGAACUAGUAGGAAUGUAGAGGGAGAUCCUGAAUGCUCCCUGAGACAUAGCUUAAAACCAGAUAUUUUGGAUGAUGCUUCUAAUGCUUUUCCUAAAACAAGACCUGUUUCUACAAGUGAUGAAGACGCACUUUGUGCAACAGAAAGGAAGCUUGGAAAAGUCUCUGGAUUUAAUGAAGAUCUUCCCAGCGACUGCCUUCUUGACAAUAAUAGUAUAGGAGAAACGAAAAUUGAAAGUCCUUUUGCAAAUGCUCGACAAUCAUGUGGCAUACUGAAAAGGAGUCUUGAUGAGCAACUAAAACAAGAUAUGGAAAGAUUUAAGAGUAAGAUAGGAAUGCUGCAAAUAGUAUUCCUGGCUUUGGAGAAAGAGAAGGCAGAGCUGCAAAAAGAGGUUGAGAAAGAAAGAUGUUUAAAAAUGAAGGUGAUGACAAAACAAGAUGACCCUGAUAAAUCAUAUACACCACCAAGCAACACUGCUGAUCAGCAAAGGCAACAGAAGCUAACUCUAAGGAAGAAUGAGUGUUUGAAAAUGGAGAAUGAAAGUGCUAUAGAAGAAAAGGACAAAAAGAACUUUUCAUCUGAGAAGAGGUCAAAACUGAUUAAAAUGCCAAUGAAAGGAAAACUUGCUCUGAAUGCAGAUGUUGCAAAGAAAAACAAAAGAUGGACUUUGAAGAAGGUGGCUGAUCAGCAGUUGGGUUCUUCCAGUGGGAAUAAUUUUCAAGUACUGGAUGACAGCACUUCCAGUGAGACAUCUCAAGAUGAAGGAAGGUGCUGAAUAUAAGGAAUGUUAUAAAGAAACCUUACUUAA